ACCAAUGGUACUGUUAGGUAUGCCCUUCUAACAGCUACAGGAGAACCCAAGAAUCUUUCUGAGGCUCUUACUGAUCCAAACUGGAAACAUGCUAUGCAAGAUGAAUAUGAUGCUCUUGUUGCUAACAAAACCUGGCAUUUAGUGCCUCCCAGUUCCACUAAAAAUAUCAUUGAUUGCAAAUGGGUUUAUCGCAUCAAGAAACAUGCUGAUGGCACUGUGGACAGGUACAAAGCACGUCUUGUUGCAAAAGGAUUCAAACAGAGAUAUGGUAUUGACUACGAGGAUACUUUCAGUCCUGUUGUUAAGGCUGCCACUAUCAGGAUUGUUCUUGCAAUAUCAGUUUCUCGAGGCUGGAGUUUAAGGCAGCUAGAUGUGAAGAACGCAUUUUUACAUGGUGUUCUGGAAGCGGAGGUUUACAUGAAACAACCACCAGGUUUUCAGUCUUCCGCUAAUCCAAAUUAUAUUUGCAGACUUGAUAAAGCAUUAUAUGGUCUGAAACAGGCUCCUCGAGCUUGGUACUCUCGCCUGAGUUCCAAGUUACACACUGGGUUUUCU
rnacentral:rRNA from 1 species